AAUGAGCAAAAGUUGCAGCACAGCGUGUCACCAGAGAGGAAAAGAAUAUCCUUGCUGUGCCAAGAAAGAAAAGACCAUGGAUCUACUAGUUGCAGAUUUCAGCAGUAAUGCCAAGGGGGCAAGAAGUGACCAGCAGAACAAUUAGGCCAUGGCAACAGAAGCCAACUACAACCCAUGUUCCAAUCUAUGACCUCCCUCUCCUGCUGGUACAAGGAUAUGUAUUCCUUAGAGCAAAGGAUGCAAUGUCAAGCAAGUUGUGAUACCUCAACUAUCUACAAUUUAACACCAAGGAAAGAACACUGUUUGGAGAAAUGAGAAAGAUUAUCAUCAGUGUCUUUCAGAAGUCAUCAAAAGAAGAAAAGGAGAAAAGAGAGGAGAAAGCAGAAAGAUCUGGAGUCUGGGAAGUUCAAGAGCAUGGCACCAACAUCUGGCAAGGGCUUUCAUUCUGCAUCAUCUCAUGGAGGAAAAUAAAAAGGAGGCUGGAUGCUCCUGUGAAGUACGUCUUUUAUCUACUUGCUAUCUUUGCAAUUCCUUCAUGCUACAAUGAGAGAUAGAGUUUAAACCUGAAAACAUUCUUGGAAAAGGAAUCUUCAUUAAUUCAAAUAUACCACAAGGGGCACGCACGUGAAUCUAAACACCAAGAUGCACCCAUGGGAAUAAAUGUGCAUGACUAUGCUCUUCCCAACUGAAAACUGCAGCUCAUUGUACUGAGGGUGUAAAGCUGUGAUUGAGAAACACACCUGUGAGGCAGUGCUGCAGAACUGUGAAGAGUGUGGACUCUUGAAUUGGACUGCUGGGUUGUGAAUCCUGGCUCUCUCACUUCUUACGUUGGGAUUCACCACCAUCACUACUCUAAGUAUUUUUCUUCUUGAGAAAGAGAAGGAGAGGGAAAGCAAGGAAGAGGAAGAGAAAGAGAAAUGGAUAAAAACAUGGUCAAGUAGAAGAGUCUGUGAUUUCAGGUAAAUCCAGAUUUGGAGCUUAAAUGACUCAAAUGCUUUGCCUACAUUGAUCCUACAUUCAGGCUGCUUACAUAUCUCUUGGCUUCUCUGAGAACCAGAUUGUCACCACUUAAAGUGUCUUCCAGAGUCCUCACGAGUAUCAGAGAAGGCAUAAUCUGUACACGUGGCUUCAUUUAAAAUGAAAAUAUCAAGCAGUGUCAUUUUCACAAGUAUCCCCACACUGUCUGAGGCUGAAAAGAAGAGUGUAGCUAUGCACACUGCAGUGAGAAGAAAAUUUCAGCUCAAUUGGAGGAUGUAAAGAUUGAAAUACCACUGCUCCUAGUUCUGAUGCAAAAUUGAAAAGAGUGCACUGGGUCUUCAAAUGGCAUAUUGACAAGGAGAAAGAGGAAAGGAUGCCCCAGGACAGCCUGGGGGUCAAGGCUGGGCUCAGGCAUGCCUGGACAAGCCAUGCAAGUUGUCUCCGGACUUGAACCACGUAUCAGAGGAGCUAUUUGAGGAGCCACAUCAGCAUACCUGCUUCUGUGGGCCCCCAGGCUGUGGUGCUCAGCCCUUGCACUAUGAAACAUUUUUUUUUUCCAGAAGCCAAAGCUUUGAGCAUCUCCUCCCAUGUAGAGAGUGUAUAUGUUUACGUCCAUGUCUUUCGCCAUGUGAACGCAUGCAACCACCACCUCAAAUAUCAUAAAUCCUCUCUCUCCCCCUUUCUGUCUGCCUGUUUAUCUACAAUCUGUCUAUUUAAAUUCUUUUUAAACAAGAAGGGAAUAUCUUUAUGCCUGUUUGUAGGGAUAUUCUACAUCCAUCUGUUAUUUACAUCAUUCGUUUUCCUGAGGUGUCUCCAACAAAUCCUGGCUGGAUGCACUGUAUGUGUUAUUAAUAAAACAGCUGUAAAAAUAUUAA
rnacentral:lncRNA from 1 species